GCGAUCACCUCGCCCUGCGAGUGCGCAUCCUGUGGAGAGAUGCAGGGUAUCCCACAGUAAAAUUAAACAACUUUUCAAGCAUUUCCAAGUUUUAUGACGUCAAAGGAGAAGGAAAUGGUCAGUGGCAAUUCUUCCAUAAAUCAGCACAAAAAAGAAAAAAAAGUCAGGAUUAAGAUUGUUGUUUUGCUGUCUAGCUUCGUGAAAACUAGCUAAACAGUUAGUAAAAGUUAAAUUAUUUCUGAUUUUGUUUUUUUUAAUCACGUCAUCACAGUGAACAUGGCUCUGAGACAGCCGCUCAGGACCUUAUUUAGUAAGAACAUUUCUUAUUUUAGCCUCUUUAAGGGAGAAAAUCUGACCUAACACUGCAAGGCAACCAGACUCACUGCACAGUUUCUCUAAUCAACUUUCUUAAUUAUUCAGUAGCUAAUUAAACCUUGGGUGGUUUUAGAAAAAACCCCGAAAAACAAUUGAGGAGCUGCUGCAUUCAAUGACCGCAAGAAAUUCCAACUUUCCAGACCAGAUAAAGAAAACAGAACCAGAACUCUAUCAAGGUCAGCCAACAUUGAUUUCUUUCUUAAUUAUCUCCCAAAUAUGAAGCCAUUUCUAAGUUAAAAAUGUUUCAUAAAAGGAAUAAAAAAUGUAUAAAUCAACAGCCAGGUGCCAAAACGGUGAGACAUGAUGGAAUCGGAGUAAAGCGUUGAUCCGACAGAAACCUGACUGGAGCAGCAGAACCUCCUCUAACGCCGUCAGUCAGGAGUCCCAGUAGAUCGUGGAGCAGCGACUCAAACUCUGCUGCUGAUUCUGGUUUUCCUCUCUCUGAUUUACAGGAGCCAUUAGCCUCUCCAGGAGGCCGCAGCGGGUUUAAAGGCAGAGCAAUUAUCUCAGGAUCGCUAAUGGCUGCAGAGUGACGCCAAAUUGUGGAAAGUCCAGUUUCGGUUCAGGAGCUUCAGGUCGCAGACCCCUGAUCUAGACAGUCAACUCAAUAAAUAAAUCCAACGGAAGCAACAAGAAAACAUGCAUUUAUACAUAGAGAUACUGGAACAAUAAUGUUUCCACAUGAAAGAAUGAGAAAAGCUGAGCUGUCAAAGCUUUUCUCAGUUGGAACAAACGGUCCCUGCAAAUCCUUUGACCUCUAACGGAGAAGGAAGCGGCGGCCAUGUUUGAUGAGCAUCGGCUUACAGUGAUGAGAGUGAAGAUCAAAACAACAGAGGCCAUCCAAUGAUAGUCCAGUCAAAAGGCACGUGAGCAGAAAUAUGGAACGACUUUUUUUAUCAUGUAAGAAAAAAGCUGGCAGGAUGUUUGGUUUUGACUUCGACCUUUAAGUCACCUGACAGAUGAGUGACUGCUCAGUUACAAUCUAACUAAGUCAAUAAUUAUUUCAGAGGCAGAGACACUGAGAGCAACAGAGCUGAGCAGAGCAGGAUCCUAAAACUUCAUGUAUGGAAAACGCCAUGAAAAAAGAACCAAAAAUGAAGAAACUCUUCCACUUCUUGUAGAUUAUUAACUAUUAAAUGACUCUUUGGAAGUUAAUAUGCUGCUAAAGAUGGGUGUGUUAAACCACCAGCCUGUCUUUUAUGGCUCUGGAUCAUUUCCUCCUCCACCUAUACUCCUAUUGCCGUUCAGUGCCAGCAUACUGAAACCAUUGUGAGUCAGUGAAUUUCCCUUGAUAUCCAAGCAUUUUGGACAAAAUACUAAUAUAAAUAAGCAUACAAAUGCUAAAAUCCAACAAAUAUCCAUUUAUUAUGAAUUACUCUGGCUGCAGCAUGCAGAUGGUAGCGCUGUCGUCUUGUAGCAAAAAGAUCCUGGGUAUGUAGGUAAGCAGAUGAUGCUCAGCUCUACAUAAUAAUGUCACCAGGUGACUCUGAGCCCAUUCAGCCACUGAACAGAUGCUCAGAACAAAUCAAUGUGUGGAUGUGCCAUAACUUUCUCCAGCUGAACAGUAACGAAACUGAACCAUUAUUUUUGGACCCACAGAAAAAACUAUUAGGAGCCAUCGCUCAGCUUCAGUUUUUACAGCUAGAAACCAGCAACCAGGAUCUCUAAAUCUUGCAAAGGUAACUUUGAAGUUAUAGGAAAAGAAUCGCCAGUCAAUGCAUGCUUUGAAAAAGUAACCAGUGAGCUAUUUCAAAAAUAACCUCUAUAUUCCAGGAAAGUAACCAAUAAACUCAUACAUAAAUCAUCCUGCCAGUUCUACAAAUGUUACUUUUAGUGUCGGGAAAGAGUGAAAUAUUUCAGAUCAUCUAAAAAUUAUAUAAUUUGCUUCUCUAAGAUCAUACUGUCCAAUAAAAUACACAUAAGAAUCAGCCUAGUAGAUUUUAACUAAGGCUUUGGAUGCACAUUUUUUAUUUGUUUUUGUACUUCAUUAUAUUUCCUUGUGGUUUAUUAAACUAUUAAACAUUAAAUAAAACCAUAUAGAAAGUGCUAAAACACGGUAUCUUUUUUUUUUUAUUACUAAUUAGUGGCUUAUUGUUCAUAACCCAGAGGUCUUAUUGUAUUAUCAUUUAUUUCUUGGAGGUGGGGGUUAAUUGAUUUAAGACGCAGAGAGAGGUAAUGGAUCCGUCCUGAGAAGAAUGUUAUUCUUCAGUGAAUAAUUUGUUCUCUACGAGGCUGGGGAGUGUUUUCUUGAGGAAAACAGAGAUUUUUGGUCUUGUGCAUGUGUGUUUACGGUUUAGUCCGGGUCAGAACCCAGCAGCGGGUGGUGUGUGGACCCCUCUGCCUCGAUGUCACGUUGACAGCCGGCGUCUCUUUUAACCACCAACCGGGGGCGACACACCCAGCAGAUGCCCGUCAUGUUUAUCAUCACCUCCCGGUGUGAAUCCCCGCAGACUCGUCCACCAGC